GCGCGCAAAUUACCCAUCCUGACACGGGGAGGUAGUGACAAUAAAUAACAAUACCGGGCGCGUUAGUGUCUGGUAAUUGGAAUGAGUACAAUCUAAAUCCCUUGACGAGGAUCCAUUGGAGGGCAAGUCUGGUGCCAG
rnacentral:rRNA from 1 species